rnacentral:rRNA from 1 species
AGUCAUAUGCUUGUCUCAAAGAUUAAGCCAUGCAUGUCUAAGUAUAAGCAAUUAUACAGCGAAACUGCGAAUGGCUCAUUAUAUAAGUUAUCGUUUAUUUGAUAGUACCUUACUACUUGGAUAACCGUGGUAAUUCUAGAGCUAAUACAUGCUAAAAAUCCCGACUUCGGAAGGGAUGUAUUUAUUAGAUUAAAAACCAAUGCCCUCUGGGCUCCUUGGUGAUUCAUAAUAACCUUUCGAAUCGCAUGGCCUUGCGCCGGCGAUGGUUCAUUCAAAUUUCUUCCCUAUCAACUUUCGAUGUUUGGGUAUUGGCCAAACAUGGUCGCAACGGGUAACGGAG